rnacentral:rRNA from 1 species
GUGGGGAAUCUUAGACAAUGGGGGAAACCCUGAUCUAGCCAUGCCGCGUGAGCGAUGAAGGCCUUAGGGUUGUAAAGCUCUUUCAGCUGGGAAGAUAAUGACGGUACCAGCAGAAGAAGCCCCGGCUAACUCCGUGCCAGCAGCCGCGGUAAUACGGAGGGGGCUAGCGUUGUUCGGAAUUACUGGGCGUAAAGCGCACGUAGGCGGAUCAGAAAGUCAGAGGUGAAAUCCCAGGGCUCAACAUUGGCACUGCCUUUGAAACUCCUGGUCUUGAGGUCGAGAGAGGUGAGUGGAAUUCCGAGUGUUGAGGUGAAAUUCGUAGAUAUUCGGAGGAACACCAGUGGCGAAGGCGGCUCACUGGCUCGAUACUGACGCUGAGGUGCGAAAGCGUGGGGAGCAAACAGGAUUAGAAACCCCGGUAGUCC